rnacentral:rRNA from 1 species
AGCGAACGCUGGCGGCAGGCUUAACACAUGCAAGUCGAGCGGGCGUAGCAAUACGUCAGCGGCAGACGGGUGAGUAACGCGUGGGAACGUACCUUUUGGUUCGGAACAACACAGGGAAACUUGUGCUAAUACCGGAUAAGCCCUUACGGGGAAAGAUUUAUCGCCGAAAGAUCGGCCCGCGUCUGAUUAGCUAGUUGGUGAGGUAACGGCUCACCAAGGCGACGAUCAGUAGCUGGUCUGAGAGGAUGAUCAGCCACAUUGGUACUGAGACACGGCCCAAACUCCUACGGGAGGCAGCAGUGGGGAAUAUUGGACAAUGGGGGCAACCCUGAUCCAGCCAUGCCGCGUGAGUGAUGAAGGCACUAGGGUUGUAAAGCUCUUUUGUGCGGGAAGAUAAUGACGGUACCGAAAGAAUAAGCCCCGGCUAACUUCGUG